CACGUGGGUUACCUGCCUCGAUGACCGGGACAACCCGAGGAAACUCGGGCUAAUACCGGAUGUGCCCGCAAGGGGAAAGGAAGCUUCGGCCUCCGCAUCGAGAUGGGCCCGCGGCCCAUUAGCUUGUUGGUGAGGUAACGGCUCACCAAGGCUUCGAUGGGUAGCUGGUCUGAGAGGACGAUCAGCCACACUGGGACUGAGACACGGCCCAGACUCCUACGGGAGGCAGCAGUGGGGAAUCUUGCGCAAUGCGCGAAAGCGUGACGCAGCAACGCCGCGUGGGGGAAGAAGGCUUUCGGG
rnacentral:rRNA from 1 species